rnacentral:rRNA from 1 species
AUUCCAGCUCCAAUAGCGUACAUUAAAGUUGUUGCAGUUAAAACGCUCGUAGUCGGAUUUCUGGUCGGGACGUCUGGCCGGCUCCGCAAGGGGUCGUUGCAUUGACUGUACUCGUCCAUCCUCAGGUUGACUAGCUCUGGUAUUUAUUUAUCGGUGUUAGAACGCCUGUCGUUUACUGUGAACAAAUUAGAGUGUUCAAAGCAAGGUGUACUUGAAUACAUUAGCAUGGAAUAAUAAGAUAGGACUUUGGUGGUUCUUUUUGAUAUUUUGUUGGUUUGCACGCCAAAGUAAUGAUUAAUAGGAGCAGUUGGGGGUAUUCGUAUUCAAUUGUCAGAGGUGAAAUUCUUGGAUUUAUAGAAGACGAACUACUGCGAAAGCAUUUACCAAGGAUGUUUUCAUCG